UGGGGAAUAUUGCACAAUGGGCGAAAGCCUGAUGCAGCAACGCCGCGUGCGGGAUGACGGCCUUCGGGUUGUAAACCGCUUUCAGCUCCGACGAAGCGCAAGUGACGGUAGGAGCAGAAGAAGGACCGGCCAACUACGUGCCAGCAGCCGCGGUGAUACGUAGGGUCCGAGCGUUGUCCGGAAUUAUUGGGCGUAAAGGGCUCGUAGGCGGUUUGUCGCGUCGGAAGUGAAAACUCAGGGCUUAACCCUGAGCCUGCUUCCGAUACGGGCAAACUAGAGGAAUGCAGGGGGAGAAUGGAAUUCCUGGUGGAGCGGUGGAAUGCGCAGAUAUCAGGAGGAACACCAGUGGCGAAAGGCGGUUCUCUGGGCAUUUCCUGACGCUGAGAAGCGAAAAGCGUGGGGAGCAAAACAGGCUUAGAUACCCUGGUAGUCCACGCCGUAAACGGUGGGCACUAGGUGUGGGACUCAUUCCACGAGUUCCGUGCCGUAGCUAACGCAUUAA
rnacentral:rRNA from 1 species